GAUGAACGCUGGCGGCGUGCCUAAUACAUGCAAGUCGAGCGAACAGACGAGGCGCUUGCUCCUUUGUCGUUUGCGGAGGACGUGUGAGUCACGCGUGGGUCCUCUCCUUAUCAGUGUGGGAUAAUUUCGGGACUCCGGCGCUAAUCCCGGAUAAUAUUCUGAUCCGUAUGGUUCGUUAGUGAAAGAUGGCUUUGCUGUCACUUCUAGAUGGACCUGCGCCGUAUUAUCUGGUUGGUAAGGUACCGGCCUACCAAGGCAACGAUACGUAGCCGAACUGAGAGGGGGAUAGGCCACACUAGAGGUGGGACACCGUCCAGGCGCCUACGGGAGGCAGCAGUAUGGAAUCUGCGGCAAUGGGCGAAAACAUGGCGGAGCAGCGCCGAGUGAGUGAUAAAGGUGUUCGGAGCGUAAAACUCUGUUAUGAGUGAAGAACAAACGUGGAAGUAACUGUGCAGGUCGUGACGGUACCGAAUCAAAAAGCCACGGCUAACUACGUG
rnacentral:rRNA from 1 species